CCAGCCUCUCCACCAUGGGCAAGACCCAAGAGCUGUCUACGGACACCAAGGACAAAAUUGUAGACCUGCACAAGGCUUGGAUGGGCUACAGGACAAUAGACAAGCAGCUUGAUUCUGUCUCUCACAGUUGAAGUGUACCUACGAUCAAAAUGACAGACCCCUCCAUUCUUUGUGUGAUGUCAUGCAGUCCUUGCAGUAUAUUAUGAGUUCCCGUAAAAAGUUCAGAGUUGAGCGCCAGAAAGGAGAUUACUCAAAAAAAUCUUCCUCAUGAUGAUGAAGAUUUUCCCUUCAGGAACAAGCCAAACAACCCACACAGGCUCCAAAGUGCACCUGUUGAAUCAGAGUGGGAAGACCAAAUUUUGCAAAGAAAGAAACUCUAGUCACGCUAAAUUAACCAGGCUGACAAUCACACAGCUUCAUGUCAGGCUCAAAGCAUUCAUGUGACUCUGUAGUUGGCUAUCAGUCAUAUGUUUAAAGAGGCAGAAAGAUUGGGAGUGAUAAGCCAGCACAUGUCAGAUGGGCAGCAGCUUGUCUGAAGCCGUACAUCCGAGGACUGAAAUCAUUGUAUCUGAGGGUUUGUUGAGUGGAGCUGGGGGGAGUUUGAGCUUCAGCAUUCUGUGACUCCACGAAACGAUGACAUACUGGUUAGACUCAAAAUACUUCUCAAGUGAUAUCAUUCCUCAAGUCUUAUAGUGAUUGACAGUUUGAGUCCCAAUUUGCAGACUUUGCCCUUUAAACCAAGGUUGAAUAUGAUGUCAGUUUAUGGAUGCUCCACUUGUUCUCCUUUGUUCUAAGAUCUGCUGGACUGAUAAAAAGAAGCACCACCACGGCUCACAUAUAUAUCAUACUUAAUAAAGAGUCAUAGUUUUGUAUUCUUAGGUAAACCAACAUUAAAUAAAAUACUUUUUUUGAAAGAA